GGCGGGAUGAUGAGAAAAAUCAGACGGAUUCCCAUUGAUUGUUCAACAACAUGAGAUCACAACCAGCUACUUCUGACUGCC
rfam:Punica granatum cultivar Dabenzi scaffold7, whole genome shotgun sequence.